UAAAAAUGGCAAUGGUGGCGUCACGAACCGAGUCAGGACCGGAAGGUAGCAGCUAUAAGUGACAAAGCCAUGUGCCUUUUUUUAUU
rnacentral:SRP_RNA from 2 species